rnacentral:lncRNA from 10 species
AGAGAACGCAAGGCAAGCAUCGCGCCAGAUGCUGUGAGUUUAUCCUGAGAGCCCAGCCGCACGCUGACAGGGCUCCAGGCCCUCUCCUACAGGAAGACUUCCUGGAUUAAUCUGCUAAUCUUCAGCUCAUCCACCUGUUUAAUAGGCAAAACCUACAGAACUAGUCCACACUGAGUGGACCUCUGGGGCUCCCAGCUGCCGAUUGACCUGAACCCCAGAGUGAACUCGUGUUGCUUUGUGGCUUCAGGAAACCUUGGAACAUCUCUGUGCUGUUUUUUCAUUUGUGCUCAAUCAUUCCUGAGGCCUCCUCCUCCUGCUGCAAUUUGACAAGACUUGACCAAAUCAUUAACUCCCAGUUAAUGGGAUAAAAUGAGUUUGAAUCUGGGAUUCUGGUCAUUAACCCCAUGUCACCAUCUGCUCCAGCAGUUUGAUGGCAGGGCUAGGUGAAUUCUAAUCACCCAACACUUGUUAAACUGCUGAUUCCUGCUUCCCCACCUCUGCUGACUCAGCAUCUCUGGGGUGGGGCCUGCAAAGGCUCUCUUCCUUGACGGGGUUAUUGAGGGCAGCUCUAGGAACCCACCCAGGACCAGACCUGAUGAGGAGUUCCUCCUAUGCAUCAGGUAUGCUGGGUCGGUUUGCGGAGUUUCAUAACUUGCAUUUUCCUCUGCCUGGAGAGUUCCUUGCAGCUGGCUUCUUCUGUGUCACGGCCCCACAGAGAUCUUGGCUGGUCUCCCUAUCUCCACCCUCCACCAUGCUCACUAUUCCAUUACAAGUUUCCUUUUCUACCCAGUACUAAUCAUUUUCUGCAAUUCAUCUCAUUUCCUUGUGAACUAUCUGUUGGUCCUACCAGAAUGUAAGUCUCCACCUGGGGGCAGAGACCCUGCCUGGCUUGUUAGAAGCCAUAUCCCCAGGAUUGAAGCAUAUGAGAGAUGCUCAGAAAUACAAGAAUUCAUGAACAAAUGAACACGAGUGAAUUCAUUCAGCUCUGAUGCUGAGGCUCCCUCUCUGAGAUGAAAGAAUGGGGAACCUUCUUCUAAUCCUGGGGAACCUGGGGCCUGUCUACUUCUGUCCCUCUUUCCCCUGCGAAGGAAAAAUAGAAGAAAGAAGCCAUCUCUGUUUGCUUUCUCCCUGUCACUCAAUCUCUGGAGCCAACUGCUUCACAAAUAAAGAGAAGUGCACAGAGAGUCCCUGAAGCCCACCAUCAACAGACAGGCUUUCAACAAAACUGUAUCAGCACCGCCUUGGCCAUAGCUACACUCUACAGAAAAUGGGAGAGAGGAACAGCGCUAGAGAAGUUUGUCCUUGCCUGGUUCCCGGGUGGAACUUCCUCUCCCCCUUGUGUUCUAUGCGUGUGGUUACAGCUGCCUCUGAUCUUUGGUGACCAGCGGUUGGCAGUGGUGGUAUUUCAGCAUACCUUGAUCAUCGUGCUUAUUACACAGCCUCCUUUACCAUCAACCCUACCUACCUUCUUCUAGCCAUGCCCCCCACCUCCUCCCGUCUCUAUCCAUCUCUUCGCUCUUUUAAAAAAUACUUAAGUGUGUACAGAUCACAGUGACUUCAUUUGUGUGCCCAUUCACAUUUGAUGACUUCCAUAACCCCCAUACAAGUAGUUGUGUAUUCGUUUUAAUUCACUUUAUUUAUUUCCUAGCUCUUUCAUAAAAUAAAAUGAAAUAUAAGUAAUGAAAUGGGAAUAAAAAAGAGAAAAAUAGAAUUGAGGGGGAAAAGGAGAAAUGCAUCUAUGUUUGUGAUCACGUUCAUCUUUCUCCAUGCAUCAAUAUGCAUACUAUUAUGAAUUCAUUGCACGUAUUUUAACAUGUAGGCACUACAUGGGGAUGUGGUGUCUACAUACCACCUCUAUAGUGGUAGGCACUGCAAAGGGACAUACAAAAGGUAAAAAGCAUAGUCUCUACUCUCAUAGGACUUUUCAUCUCAUGGAUGUGGCACUCAUAAUGUCUUUUAUCUGUGUCCCACUUGAUGUGAAACUCUUUAGUAGGCAUGAUCCUAUUUGAUUUCCAUAAGCAGAAGAGGGGUCACUGUUUCCAUGUUAUGAGAGAGGAAACUGAGGUUCAGAGAGUGAAAGGACCCUGAUGAGAUAAUGGAACUGGGGCUCAAAUCCUGGUUUCCCGACUCAACAUUUCACAUUCUUUCUACUCUGUCAUUAUUCAUUAGUCAAGUUUCUCCACAGACAACUCACUGAGCCACAACAUAUGAAGCAGCAUGGUAAUGCCACUAGACUGGUCAUGAUCAGAAGAUGUGGCCCCAGGGAAGAGAAAGCAAGAGAGCUGGAGAUAGCAGAGAAAGCACCAAGGAAGGGCUUGGCCGUGCAGCUCUAGCAGGGAGGUCCUUCCUUUCAGCCCCCAAGUGUCCCUCUGUGUCUCAUCUAAAAAGCAAAAAAAGAGGAGAACUAGAGCUUAUGGUUGAAGGCGUGAGAAUGAGGUGUCUUUUCCCUCUAUCUCUGUAAUAUACAAGUAUAAAUACUAUAUAUACAUAUGUAUAUGUGUUCCUUUUUUCUGUGUCUGAUUAUGCAUGCAAUUUAGCAAGGAUUUAUUGCCUAAUUUUGGUCUGGGCACUUUGCUAACGCAAUGGGGGAGGAUACCAAGAAAUUAGGGACUCAGCCUCAUUGUCCCCAGAGACUCCUGGGGGUGGGCAAGGCACGGUGUCUGUGCAUACUGCUGGGGGAGCUCUGGAUUAGGGGACAUCAGGAGACAUGACAUUGAAAUGUCCUACUCAGUUCUCUGUACAGAUUGGAUUUCCGUGGAAGAAAGAAAAUCAACAUGUAUUGGGAGUCAACAUCUCAUUCAGUCCUGUGAGUUUAUUCUGCCUAUUUUUCAGACAAGGAGACUAAGGCUUCAAGACGGUAAGUAAAUUGCCCACAGUGUCACUGCUGGUGUGGGAAUGAGCUUCAGGGUCAUUGAGUCAUGCUGCUGCCCAGGUACCCUGUAAGGCCGUCAAGUGUUGUGGGUAAGGGUUUUGGUGCUGACGUUCAGGUGAUUGUGAGUUUAAAGCCUGG